GACGAACGCUGGCGGCGUGCUUAACACAUGCAAGUCGAACGGAAAGGCCCUGCUUUUGUGGGGUGCUCGAGUGGCGAACGGGUGAGUAACACGUGAGUAACCUGCCCUUGACUUUGGGAUAACUUCAGGAAACUGGGGCUAAUACCGGAUAGGAGCUCCUGCUGCAUGGUGGGGGUUGGAAAGUUUCGGCGGUUGGGGAUGGACUCGCGGCUUAUCAGCUUGUUGGUGGGGUAGUGGCUUACCAAGGCUUUGACGGGUAGCCGGCCUGAGAGAGUGACCGGCCACAUUGGGACUGAGAUACGGCCCAGAAUCCUACGGGAGGCAGCAGUGGGGAAUAUUGCACAAUGGGCGGAAGCCUGAUGCAGCAACGCCGCGUGCGGGAUGACGGCCUUCGGGUUGUAAACCGCUUUCGCCUGUGACGAAGCGUGAGUGACGGUAAUGGGUAAAGAAGCACCGGCUAACUACGUG
rnacentral:rRNA from 1 species